GUCGUAACAAGGUUUCCGUAGGUGAACCUGCGGAAGGAUCAUUGUCGAAACCUGCAAAAUCAGACCGCGAACACGUUUAAUUACAUGGGACUGUGGCGGGGUAAACCCGAUGCUGCUUUUCCCACCCCRCAUGCGCGCACUCCGGUGCGCGUGCUGCGGGCUAACAAACCCCGGCGCGGCAUGCGCCAAGGAGUACUCAUAGAAGCGUCCGCRUCCCCUUGCCCCGUCCGCGGUGAGCGAGGGGGGAUAGGACGUCUCUCCACUGUCAAAAUGACUCUCGGCAACGGAUAUCUCGGCUCUCGUAUCGAUGAAGAACGUAGCGAAAUGCGAUACUUGGUGUGAAUUGCAGAAUCCCGUGAACCAUCGAGUCUUUGAACGCAAGUUGCGCCCGAAGCCAUCCGGACAAGGGCACGUCUGCCUGGGCGUCACGCAUCGCGUCGCUCCCCUCCCGUCCAUAUGGGCGAUAGGUAGGUGGGGGCGUACGAUGGUCUCCCGUGCGCGAGGAUGCACGGCCGGCCCAAAUGCGAUACCGAGGCGACUCACGUCACGGCCAGUGGUGGUUGAACACUCAACUCUCGUGCUGUCGUGCACGGCGUCGUACAUCGGGUAUUUUUGAAAGACCCCACGGCGCGAGCUACUCGCGCUUCAGACCGCGACCCCA
rnacentral:sRNA from 1 species